UACGGGGGGGUAAGCGUUGUUCGGAAUUACUGGGCGUAAAGAGCGCGCAGGCGGUCGUCCAAGUCGCGUGUGAAAGCCCCCGGCUCAACUGGGGAGGGUCACGCGAUACUGGUCGACUCGAAGGCAGGAGAGGGUAGUGGAAUUCCCGGUGUAGUGGUGAAAUUCGUAGAUAUCGGGAGGAACACCGGGUGGCGAAGGCGGUUCUCUGGGCCUUACCUGACGCUGAGGAGCGAAGGCGUGGGGAGCGAACAGG
rnacentral:rRNA from 1 species